ensembl:rRNA 5S_rRNA 5S ribosomal RNA
CUGCCCAGCCAUAUCACUCUGCAGCCCAAGACUGGUUGCCCACUGAAGCUAAGCAGGGCUGAGCCUGGUCAGUACCUGGAUAAAGGGGCGCCAGGUUAGGAUGAUAUCAGGGGCCUGGUGAGG